rnacentral:lncRNA from 1 species
UGGUAUCAAGUUGAAAUGGCUUAGUUAGUUUUAUGUGUUAAUUAGAAAUGAUAAUAGGAUUUUAUUUACUUAAGUUGUUAUGUCUAUAUGUCAAGUAGGAUUAAGUAUAUAAAUGCCUUGGUUGAAAUACUGAAAUUGGGUUGGUUAUGUUUGAAAUUUUGCAGGGGGUUUAAUGUAAAAAUAAGUCGAAAUGCUGCCGAAAUUUUUAUAAAAAAAAAA